rnacentral:rRNA from 1 species
GACGAACGCUGGCGGCGUGCCUAAUACAUGCAAGUUGAGCGAUGAAGCUUGGUGCUUGCCCCAAUUUGAAGAGCAGCGAACGGGUGAGUAACGCGUGGGGAAUCUGCCUUUGAGCGGGGGACAACAUUUGGAAACGAAUGCUAAUACCGCAUAACAACUUUAAACAUAAGUUUUAAGUUUGAAAGAUGCAAUUGCAUCACUCAAAGAUGAUCCCGCGUUGUAUUAGCUAGUUGGUGAGGUAAAGGCUCACCAAGGCGAUGAUACAUAGCCGACCUGAGAGGGUGAUCGGCCACAUUGGGACUGAGACACGGCCCAAACUCCUACGGGAGGCAGCAGUAGGGAAUCUUCGGCAAUGGACGAAAGUCUGACCGAGCAACGCCGCGUGAGUGAAGAAGGUUUUCGGAUCGUAAAACUCUGUUGGUAGAGAAGAACGUUGGUGAGAGUGGAAAGCGCAUCAAGUGACGGUAACUACCCAGAAAGGGACGGCUAACUACGU